rnacentral:snoRNA from 1 species
ACAAUAUUACUUGAACACGAUCUGUUCUAUAGAAUAGUAUUACUGAGUCCUUGAUUUCAAAGGAGACAGAAACAUGAAUCUGAAAUUUAGGGUAUAAGGAUG